rnacentral:rRNA from 1 species
CGGUACGGCCAGUGGGAGCUGUAGCCCGGAGUUGGGGACUGAGACAAGGCCCCAGGCCCUACCGGGGCGCAGCAGGCGCGAAACCUCUGCAAUACGGGAANCCGUGACAGGGGGAUUCCAAGUGCUCAUGCAUUGCAUGGGCUGUUCUUUGGUCUAAGUAACCAGAGGAGUAAGGGCUGGGCAAGACCGGUGCCAGCCGCCGCGGUAAUACCGGCAGCUCGAGUGGUAGCCGCGAUUAUUGGGCCUAAAACGUUCGUAGCCGGAUAAGUAAGUCUUUGGUUAAAUCCUACGACUUAACCGUGGGAAAUCUAGAGAUACUGCUUGUCUUGAGACCGGGAGAGGUUGGAGGUACUCCCAGGGUAGGGGUGAAAUCCUGUAAUCCUGGGGGGACCACCUGUGGCGAAGGCGUCCAACUGGAACGGCUCUGACGGUGAGGGACGAAACCUAGGGGAGCGAGCCGGAUUAGAUACCCGGGUAGUCCUAGGCGUAAAUGAUGCGAGUUAAGUGUGGGGGCAUCUACGAGAUGCCCUGUGCUGUAGGGAAGCUGUUAAGUCUGCCGCCUGGGGAGUACGAUCGCAAGAUUGAAACUUAAAGGAAUUGGCGGGGGAGCACCACAAGGGGUGAAGCUUGCGGUUUAAUUGGAGUCAACGCCGGG